UACGUAGGGGGCAAGCGUUGUCCGGAUUUAUUGGGCGUAAAGAGCGUGUAGGCGGCUUGGUAGGUCCGCUGUGAAAACUCGAGGCUCAACCUCGAGAUGUCGGCGGAAACCACUUGGCUAGAGUCCGGAAGAGGAGAGUGGAAUUCCUGGUGUAGCGGUGAAAUGCGCAGAUAUCAGGAGGAACACCGACGGCGAAGGCAGUGUUCUGGGCCAGUACUGACGCUGAGGAGCGAAAGCGUGGGUAGCAAACAGG
rnacentral:rRNA from 1 species